GGCAGGCGUGGCUAGACCGCCGGCGGCGCAGCCGCAACGCCACCACCAUGGUGACCGAGUACAGCGACAUCGGGUGUCGCUCGCGCCGUGCCGGUGGCGCAUCCCAGACCCCCAACGUGCUAAGAUCUCAUGGAGUACUACAUUGAAGAGUAUACAUUUUACGGGGUAAAGUUUGAAUAUAGUGAUUGUAAUGAGUAAGCUGCUACAGAUAGCCAGCAACGUGCUGCCACUGUUCUCACGGAGGUGUCGAUGUAAACUCCAUUGAGGCGUGUAAGAUGAAACGGGAGCGAGUGCUUUGGUGAGGAUGCACGAACCUGCAAACUGUGCAAUGAUAGAUUCAGGCACUUU
rnacentral:lncRNA from 7 species